UGGGGAAUAUUGCACAAUGGGCGAAAGCCUGAUGCAGCAACGCCGCGUGAGUGAUGACGGUCUUCGGAUUGUAAAGCUCUGUCUUUGGGGACGAUAAUGACGGUACCCAAGGAGGAAGCCACGGCUAACUACGUGCCAGCAGCCGCGGUAAUACGUAGGUGGCAAGCGUUGCCCGGAUUUACUGGGCGUAAAGGGUGCGUAGGCGGACCUUUAAGUGAGAUGUGAAAUCCCCGAGCUUAACUUGGGGGCUGCAUUCCAAACUCGAGGUCUAGAGUGCAGGAGAGGAGAGUGGAAUUCCUAGUGUAGCGGUGAAAUGCGUAGAGAUUAGGAAGAACACCAGUGGCGAAGGCGACUCUCUGGACUGUAACUGACGCUGAGGCACGAAAGCGUGGGGAGCAAACAG
rnacentral:rRNA from 1 species